UACGGAGGAGGCAAGCGUUAUCCGGAAUUAUUGGGCGUAAAGCGUCCGCAGGUGGCUGUUCAAGUCUGCUGUCAAAGCGCAGAGCUUAACUCUGUACAGGCGGUGGAAACUGAAGAGCUAGAGUAUGGUAGGGGUAGAGGGAAUUCCCGGUGUAGCGGUGAAAUGCGUAGAUAUCGAGAGGAACACCUGCGGCGAAGGCGGGUUGCUGGGCUGACACUGACGCUGACAGCGCGAAAGCUAGGGGAGCGAACGGG
rnacentral:rRNA from 1 species